rnacentral:pre_miRNA from 1 species
GCAUUCAGGGCCUGAUCUGGAGUACCUUGAGUUCAAUAGGAGUCUUUCCAUUGACUUUAAUGGGUUUUGGAUCAGGCCCUCAAUGC